rnacentral:rRNA from 1 species
GAUGAACGCUGGCGGCGUGCCUAAUACAUGCAAGUCGAGCGAAGGGGGGACGGGGGAGUAACACGUGGUAAACCUCCUAUAACACCGGGUUAACUUGGGGAAACCGGUGCUAAACCUGAUAUUCAUAGAUGGCUCUGCGAUGCAUUAGCUAGUUGGUAAGGUAACGGCUUACUAAGGCAACGAUGCAUAGCCGACCUGAGAGGGUGAUCGGCCACACUGGAACGGAGACACGGCCCAGACUCCUACGGGAGGCAGCAGUAGGGAAUCUUCCGCAAUGGGCGAAAGCCUGACGGAGCAACGCCGCGUGAGUGAAGAAGGUCUUCGGAUCGUAAAACUCUGUUAUUAGGGAAGCGGUACCUAAUCAGAAAGCCACGGCUAACUACGUGCCAGCAGCCGCGGUAAUAC